CUUUCAUCAGCACUUAGAGUUUCCCCCUCCAAAAUGAAGAAGGUAAUAAUUGCCAUCUUCAGAAGUGGGUUCUAAGAGAGCCUCGAUUUAGGAGCUUCAAUAAUUCUCUAAGUAAAAGAAGAAUCUGUCCCUUAACAGCUACCUCUGCUAAUUUGCCUUUUGCAGAAUUUUGUAGUGUGUGCCAAACACAGCACAAAUGAGCAGCCCAUCCAUGUGAGUCACCGGCCAGCAGUGCCCAUCAUGCUGGGCAGAGACUUUUGUGUCCAACACUUGUCCCUUCAGCAAGGAAGAAGGCUCCCCGAAAUGAAGUCCUGCUGGAGGAAGAAGGAAGCCUUAGCAAGAGAGCAUGCCCCAGCUGGGAUACAUUUUGCAAGUUUUGCAUACCAUUAUGAGGACUUAAAUUGAGCCCUCCUGAAGUAGCACAGAACAGGGAACUCCAGUGAAGGAAAAAAACCCACAUUUUGAUUCACCCAGAUUUAUAUCCUUUGAUCAAAAGCUGCCCCUUGUGCUUAUGAGAAUCUCAUGUAAAUAUCUGCAAAGUUACUCCUUUAUCUGCUUUCACAUUUCUUUCCAGAGAAACCUUUG